rnacentral:rRNA from 1 species
UACGGAGGGUGCGAGCGUUAUUCGGAAUUAUUGGGCGUAAAGGGCGCGUAGGCGGCUUAUCAAGUCAGGCGUGAAAUUCCCGGGCUCAACCUGGGGGCUGCGCUUGAUACUGAUUGGCUUGAAUGCGGGAGAGGAUAGUGGAAUUCCCAGUGUAGAGGUGAAAUUCGUAGAUAUUGGGAAGAACACCGGUGGCGAAGGCGGCUAUCUGGCCCGUAAUUGACGCUGAGGCGCGAAAGCGUGGGGAGCAAACAGG